rnacentral:rRNA from 1 species
GACAGAGGGUGCAAACGUUGUUCGGAAUUACUGGGCGUAAAGCGCGUGUAGGCUGUCUCGAAAGUCGGAUGUGAAAGCCCUGGGCUCAACCUAGGAAGUGCAUUCGAAACUUCGAGACUUGAGUCCUGGAGAGGAUCGCGGAAUUCUCGGUGUAGAGGUGAAAUUCGUAGAUAUCGAGAGGAACACCGGUGGCGAAGGCGGCCAACUGGACGAAUACUGACGCUGAGACACGAAAGCGUGGGGAGCAAACAGG